GUCCCUUCGGGGACAUCUGUUAAAAUUGGAAUGAUGUGGAGAAGAUUAGCAUGGCCCUUGGGCAGGGGUGACACGCACAAAUCGAGAAAUGGUCCAAAUUUUU
rnacentral:snRNA from 1 species